AUGUUCGCUAUGGUGGGGAACAGGAGGCUUACUAAAGAAACAGGUGAAAUCUGAAUUAUGUCUUUGUGUGGUGUGUACUUAUUUAAAUUUGUUGUUCUUAUAUUUAUUGUAAAUCAAACACAGAACUGGUGCUGUUAUUUUCCUUUUGUUAUACUCUAGAUCAAUUUGAAUCAGUCAUUAUCGUUAAUCUUCUUUUUGGGAUAUCUAUAUUACUUGAUUACUAGAAAUGGAAGAGACAAACAAGGAGUUCCAUGGGAGAGGCUUAACUUGACUAGAUAUCA
rnacentral:lncRNA from 1 species